AUUGAACGCUGGCGGCAGGCCUAACACAUGCAAGUCGAGCGGAGCGGCGGACGGGUGAGUCAUGCCUAGGAAUCUGCCUGGUAGUGGGGGAUAACGUCCGGUAACGGGCGCUAAUACCGCAUACUCUCAGACGACACUCGGUUGGAUUAGCUCGUGGGUGGGGUAAAGGCUUACCAAGGAGACGAUCCGUAACUGGUCUGAGAGGAUGAUCAGUCACACUUGAACUUAGACACGGUCCAGAUUCCUACGGGGGGCAGCAGUGGGGAAUAUUGGACAAUGGGCGAAUGCCUGAUCCAGCCAUGCCGCGUGUGUUAAGAAGGUCUUCGGAUUGUAAAGCACUUUAAGUUGGGAGGCGGUACCAACAGAAUAAGCACCGGCUUACUUCGUGCCAGCAGCCGCGGUAAUAC
rnacentral:rRNA from 1 species